GAGUAUUGUUGGUGGUGUAAAUAUUUGGAUUAUGUUCCUUCCAAAUGGUGGAGCUGUAAUGGAGAUCAAAUGAAGUGUGAGAUGGGUGUGAGUACAUGGCAAUUGACACUGACUUGCAUGAGUAGUAGUGAUAGUAAAAUACGGUUGUGGGCUGAAGACAAUACUCAAAAUGGGUGGAGCACUGAGAAAUAGAAGACUUCAAGCUAAAAGGCACUGGGAAAUAAAAGAUUGUCCAAGCUGUUAUGCCGUAAAUGAUGGAUAGUCGUUUAAGGAUUCUGUGUGAAAGUGUAAGAGAAAAUAGUAAAGUUCUAUCUCAUGGGAACUAACUAUUUGAAAAUUAAUGUGUAAAAGAAAAUAGUAAAGU